rnacentral:rRNA from 1 species
UUGAACGCUGGCGGCAGGCCUCACACAUGCCAGUCGAGCGGAUGAAGGGAGCUUGCUCCUGGAUUCAGCGGCGGACGGGUGAGUAAUGCCUAGGAAUCUGCCUGGUAGUGGGGGAUAACGUCCGGAAACGGGCGCUAAUACCGCAUACGUCCUGAGGGAGAAAGUGGGGGAUCUUCGGACCUCACGCUAUCAGAUGAGCCUAGGUCGGAUUAGCUAGUUGGUGGGGUAAAGGCCUACCAAGGCGACGAUCCGUAACUGGUCUGAGGGGAUGAUCAGUCACACUGGAACUGAGACACGGUCCAGACUCCUACGGGAGGCAGCAGUGGGGAAUAUUGGACAAUGGGCGAAAGCCUGAUCCAGCCAUGCCGCGUGUGUGAAGAAGGUCUUCGGAUUGUAAAGCACUUUAAGUUGGGAGGAAGGGCAGUAAGUUAAUACCUUGCUGUUUUGACGUUACCAACAGAAUAAGCACCGGCUAACUUCGUG